GAUGUGGUUCAGUUGGCAGAGUGCCUGCCUAGCACUCAGGAAGCCCUGGGUUCGACCCCCAGCUUC
rnacentral:tRNA from 1 species